GACGAACGCUGGCGGCGUGCUUAACACAUGCAAGUCGAACGGAAAGGCCCUGCUUUUGUGGGGUGCUCGAGUGGCGAACGGGUGAGUAACACGUGAGUAACCUGCCCUUGACUUUGGGAUAACUUCAGGAAACUGGGGCUAAUACCGGAUAGGAGCUCCUGCUGCAUGGUGGGGGUUGGAAAGUUUCGGCGGUUGGGGAUGGACUCGUGGCUUAUCAGCUUGUUGGUGGGGUAGUGGCUUACCAAGGCUUUGACGGGUAGCCGGCCUGAGAGGGUGACCGGCCACAUUGGGACUGAGAUACGGCCCAGACUCCUACGGGAGGCAGCAGUGGGGAAUAUUGCACAAUGGGCGGAAGCCUGAUGCAGCAACGCCGCGUGCGGGAUGACGGCCUUCGGGUUGUAAACCGCUUUCGCCUGUGACGAAGCGUGAGUGACGGUAAUGGGUAAAGAAGCACCGGCUAACUACGUGCCAGCAGCCGCGGUGAUACGUAGGGUGCGAGCGUUGUCCGGAUUUAUUGGGCGUAAAGGGCUCGUAGGUGGUUGAUCGCGUCGGAAGUGUAAUCUUGGGGCUUAACCCUGAGCGUGCUUUCGAUACGGGUUGACUUGAGGAAGGUAGGGGAGAAUGGAAUUCCUGGUGGAGCGGUGGAAUGCGCAGAUAUCAGGAGGAACACCAGUGGCGAAGGCGGUUCUCUGGGCCUUUCCUGACGCUGAGGAGCGAAAGCGUGGGGAGCGAACAGGCUUAGAUACCCUGGUAGUCCACGCUGUAAACGGUGGGUACUAGGUGUGGGGUCCAUUCCACGGGUUCCGUGCCGUAGCUAACGCUUUAAGUACCCCGCCUGGGGAGUACGGCCGCAAGGCUAAAACUCAAAGGAAUUGGCGGGGCCCCGCACAAGCGGCGGAGCAUGCGGAUUAAUUCGAUGCAACGCGUAGAACCUUACCUGGGUUUGACAUGGAUCGGGAGCGCUCAGAGAUGGGUGUGCCUCUUUUGGGGUCGGUUCACAGGUGGUGCAUGGCUGUCGUCAGCUCGUGUCGUGAGAUGUUGGGUUAAGUCCCGCAACGAGCGCAACCCUUGUUCACUGUUGCCAGCACGUUAUGGUGGGGACUCAGUGGAGACCGCCGGGGUCAACUCGGAGGAAGGUGGGGAUGACGUCAAGUCAUCAUGCCCCUUAUGUCCAGGGCUUCACGCAUGCUACAAUGGCUGGUACAGAGAGUGGCGAGCCUGUGAGGGUGAGCGAAUCUCGGAAAGCCGGUCUCAGUUCGGAUUGGGGUCUGCAACUCGACCUCAUGAAGUCGGAGUCGCUAGUAAUCGCAGAUCAGCAACGCUGCGGUGAAUACGUUCCCGGGGCU
rnacentral:rRNA from 1 species